UGUGAUGUAGCUCAGUGGCAAAGCGCUUGCCUAACAAGCGCAAAGUCCUGGGUUCGAUCCCCAGUACCAAAA
rnacentral:tRNA from 1 species